AUGAGUGAAACCCCCCUGGUCACUUGUUGAGGAGGCUGCUGCUGGCCUGUGGCCUCUGACCUUCCGGGUGAGGCUGUGCCCCCCUCCCCGGGGGCCUUCCCUGGCGUGGGUUCAUGUCUCUGAAGCGGCGUCUGCAGCCCUCCGAGGAUCCUCUCCCUGCUGCCAGGAAUGAAGGUCUCUGCUGCCCGUUGGCUCUUGGCCUGGCUCGCUGCAGGAGAAGCCUCAGGGCAGCGAUCGGCAGCUGAGCGGCGCCCUGCCCGCCAUGGCUGG